rnacentral:rRNA from 1 species
UACAGAGGUCCCGAGCGUUGUUCGGAUUCAUUGGGCGUAAAGGGUGCGUAGGCGGCGCGGUAAGUCGGGUGUGAAAUCUCGGAGCUUAACUCCGAAACUGCAUUCGAUACUGCCGUGCUUGAGGACUUGAGAGGAGACUGGAAUUUACGGUGUAGCGGUGAAAUGCGUAGAUAUCGUAAGGAAGACCAGUGGCGAAGGCGGGUCUCUGGACAGUUCCUGACGCUGAGGCACGAAGGCCAGGGGAGCAAACGGG